CCAGACUCCUACGGGAGGCAGCAGUGAGGAAUAUUGGUCAAUGGGCGGGAGCCUGAACCAGCCAAGCCGCGUGAAGGAAGAAGGCGCCAGGCGUCGUAAACUUCUUUUGUCGGGGAACAAAGGGCGCCACGUGUGGCGUUGUGAGUGUACCCGAAGAAAAAGCAUCGGCUAACUCCGUGCCAGCAGCCGCGGUAAUACGUAGGUGGCAAGCGUUGUCCGGAUUUACUGGGUGUAAAGGGCGUGUAGCCGGGCCGGCAAGUCAGAUGUGAAAUCCCAAGGCUCAACCUUGGAACUGCAUUUGAAACUGUUGGUCUUGAGUAUCGGAGAGGCAGGCGGAAUUCCUAGUGUAGCGGUGAAAUGCGUAGAUAUUAGGAGGAACACCAGUGGCGAAGGCGGCCUGCUGGACGACAACUGACGGUGAGGCGCGAAAGCGUGGGGAGCAAACAGGAUUAGAUACCCUCGUA
rnacentral:rRNA from 1 species